GCGGGGGUUCCCGAGCCCGGUCAAAGCUUGGCAGCGCGACAAGAGGGGGCAGACCGAGGGGCCCUGACUCAAGAUCUGCUGCCGUAGGGCUUCGUGGGUUCGAAUCCCACCCCCCGCA
rnacentral:tRNA from 1 species